CGACGUAAAGAACUUGCCUCACAGCUAGGGGUAACAUUUAGAAAUGAAUGCUAAUACCUGAUAUUAUGAUUUUAAGGCAUCUUAGAAUUAUGAAAGCUAUAAGCACUGUGAGAGAGCUUUGCGUCCCAUUAGCUAGUUGGAGAGGUAACAGCUCACCAAGGCGAUGAUGGGUAGCCGGCCUGAGAGGGUGAACGGCCACAAGGGGACUGAGACAUGGCCCUU
rnacentral:rRNA from 1 species